AGAGUUUGAUCAUGGCUCAGGGUGAACGCUGGCGGCGUGCCUAAGGUAUGCAAGUCGAGCGAUCGGAUUACCUUCGGGUAAUUACGGAGCGACGGACGGGUGAGUAACACGUUGGUAUCUGCCCCAGAGUGGGGGAUAGCUCCGGGAAACCGGAAUUAAUACCCCAUAUGUCUUCGGAUAAAAGGAUUUAUUCGCUUUGGGAGGAGCCUGCGUCCGAUUAGCUUGUUGGUAGGGUAACGGCCUACCAAGGCAACGAUCGGUAGCUGGCCUGAGAGGAUGAUCAGCCACACUGGGACUGAGACACGGCCCAGACCUCUACGGAGGGCAGCAACUAGGAAUCUUGCGCAAUGGGCGAAAGCCUGACGCAGCGACACCGCGUGCCGGAUGAAGGCCUUCGGGUUGUAAACGGCUUUUAUAGGGGAAGAUUAUGACGGUACCCUAUGAAUAAGGAUUUGCUAACUCCGUGCCAGCAGCCGCGGUCAUACGGAGGAUCCAAGCGUUACCCGGAAUUACUGGGCGUAAAGAGUUGCGUAGGCGGUUUGCCAAGUUUUUGCUUAAAGACCAGGGCCCAACUCUGGGAAUGGCAAAAAAACUGGCAGACUCGAGGAAGGCAGAGGCAAGUGGAAUUCGUGGAGUAGGGGUGAAAUCCGUAGAUACCACAAGGAACACCAAUGGCGUAGGCAGCUUGCUGGGCCUUUCCUGACGCUGAGGCACGAAAGCGUGGGUAGCGAACCGGAUUAGAUACCCGGGUAGUCCACGCCGUAAAC
rnacentral:rRNA from 1 species